GGGCAACUUUUCUGUGACUUGGGAUUUCAUGUCCUGGAAAGGAUAUCUGAAGUCAAUCUUAUUAUACUCACGACAGCGGAGCUGCCCUACCAGUAGGAAGGAUGCUUGAGGACAGCCCAGAGAUGGACUUCUGAAGGAGGAAGAGUAAAGAGGAUUUUGGUGAGCUCUCUGCUGCCUCUGGGGACUCACUGCUAUUGACCAUCUACGUGUGCCAGGCCUGGCCUCAGGGCCUUUGCAGACCGAAUGGUGAAGCGGACAUGUCACCUGUGUAGGAAGCUCACCUAGUGCGUGGCAUCACGUGCCAGCUGGAUGACGGACUUUACCACCAAACACCACUCCCCCCAUGAGAGCACAGGAC